GGCGAACGCUGGCGGCGUGCCUAAUACAUGCAAGUAGAACGCACAGUUUAUACCGUAGCUUGCUACACCAUAGACUGUGAGUUGCGAACGGGUGAGUAACGCGUAGGUAACCUGCCUGGUAGCGGGGGAUAACUAUUGGAAACGAUAGCUAAUACCGCAUAAUAUUAAUUAUUGCAUGAUAAUUGAUUGAAAGAUGCAACUGCAUCACUACCAGAUGGACCUGCGUUGUAUUAGCUAGUAGGUGAGGUAACGGCUCACCUAGGCGACGAUACAUAGCCGACCUGAGAGGGUGAUCGGCCACACUGGGACUGAGACACGGCCCAGACUCCUACGGGAGACAGCAGUAGGGAAUCUUCGGCAAUGGACGAAAGUCUGACCGAGCAACGCCGCGUGAGUGAAGAAGGUUUUCGGAUCGUAAAGCUCUGUUGUAAGAGAAGAACGGGUGUGAGAGUGGAAAGUUCACACUGUGACGGUAGCUUACCAGAAAGGGACGGCUAACUACGUG
rnacentral:rRNA from 1 species